ACUCAAAGGAAUUGACGGGGACCCGCACAAGCGGUGGAGCGUGUUGUUUAAUUCGAUGAUAAGCGAAGAACCUUACCAGGGUUUGACAUCCUUGGAAUUACUUCGAAAGAAGUGAGUGCCUUUUGGAACCAAGUGACAGGUGAUGCAUGGCCGUCGUCAGCUCGUGUCGUGAGAUGUUGGGUUAAGUCCCGCAACGAGCGCAACCCUUAUGGUUAGUUGGAUUUUUCUAACCAGACUGCCUCGGCAACGGGGAGGAAGGAGGGGAUGAUGUCAGGUCAGUAUUUCCCUUACAUCCUGGGCGACAAACACGCUACAAUGGCCGGUACAAAGGGCUGCAAACCCGCGAGGGGAAGCAAAUCUCAAUCAAAACCGGUCUCAGUUCGGAUUGCAGGCUGAAACUCGCCUGCAUGAAGCCGGAAUCGCUAGUAACCGUAGGUCAGCACACUACGGUGAAUACGUUCCCGGGUCUUGUACACACCGCCCGU
rnacentral:rRNA from 1 species